rnacentral:rRNA from 1 species
CACGUAGGGGCAAGCGUUGUCCGGAAUUAUUGGGCGUAAAGAGCUCGUAGGCGGCUCGGUAAGUCGGGUGUCAAAUCCUCAGGCUCAACCUCGAGGCUCCACCCGAUACUGCUGUGGCUAGAGUCCGGUAGGGGAGCGUGGAAUUCCUGGUGUAGCGGUGAAAUGCGCAGAUAUCAGGAGGAACACCGAUGGCGAAGGCAGGUCUCGUGGGCCAUAACUGACGCUGAGAAGCGGAAAGCCAGUGGGGAGCGAACAGGAUUAGAUACCCCCAGU